GGAAAGAUGGCUGAGUGGAUUAAAGUACGGACCUGGAACGUCCGCGUAAUGAUACAAUUACCGAGGGUUCGAAUCCCUCUCUUUCC
rnacentral:tRNA from 1 species